CCUACGGGAGGCAGCAGUGGGGAAUAUUGGGCAAUGGGCGCAAGCCUGACCCAGCAACGCCGCGUGAAGGAAGAAGGCUUUCGGGUUGUAAACUUCUUUUCUCAGGGACCAAGCCCGUGACGGUACCUGAUCAAUAAGCCACGGCUAACUACGUGCCAGCAUCCGCGGGAAUACGUAGGUGGCAAUCGUUAUCCGGAUUUACUGGGUGUAAAGGGCGUGUAGGCGGGGACGCAAGUCAGAUGUGAAAACCACGGGCUCAACCUGUGGACUGCAUUUGAAACUGUGUUUCUUGAGUGCGGGAGAGGCAGACGGAAUUCCUAGUGUAGCGGUGAAAUGCGUAGAUAUUAGGAGGAACACCAGUGGCGAAGGCGGUCUGCUGGACAGCAACUGACGCUGAGGCGCGAAAGCGUGGGGAGCAAACAGGAUUAGAUACCCGUGUAGUC
rnacentral:rRNA from 1 species